CUUAAGGUAGAUCAUAAGUAAAUGUUUUUUGAGACAGAAUUUUCUUAUAAUUUGCCAAAAUGAAGAUGUUACUAUGCUUUUUCAAAAAAAUAAUAAUAAAAGUAUGGGUCACCGUGCUAUUAUUCAAGCUAUGAGUCGUUAAAAAUUGCCUAAAUUUGGUUAGUUUGUUCAUGAAAAAACACAUAAGAGUGCAUAAAAAAAAUUCUAUGAGAUAGAAUUUUGAAAUAAAUUGUGAGAAGAUAGGUUUCAUAAUAUG
rnacentral:lncRNA from 1 species